ensembl:lncRNA
UAGCUGACCUGCUAAUGCUUUAAAGUAAAGCUCAGAAAACACAGCGAACUAGCAUUGGCGUUACCAUGGCUAACAAAAGAACAGGGAAAAUAGCGGUAACGGUUCGUGUGUUUAUGUUAUUUUUAUUCUGUAUUUUUUAUCUAAUUCAAGUCCCACGUUUAAUGCAGUUUAACUUUAAGCUUAUUCGAGGGUUUAUAAGCACAAGUACAACAUGUAUGACCUGAAACGGCUAGUGAAGGAGAAAGGAUAUGAAGAGAAACUGAAUCCGUCAUAACAAAACCUCUGGUCAGUAUGGAACAUAACUAUGUUAGUCCAUUUUUCUACACUGCAAGGAUGGCACCGCCUCAGUAGGACAUUGCGUUGCUCAUACCGGUCAAGAGGAGCCACCUGAGCACAUUGUAGCGUUUUACCUUUUACGAUCGUUCGCACCUCACGGUUAGCAUUAGCCACUUGCUAACGAGGACGAGCUGGCUCACCUGGCCGCUAUUGCGUCGGCAGCACUACGGUCCUCCCUGGUCGGGCGGCGUGGGGGUGUGGAAAUAACAGCAUGCGACAAGUUCAGGCCCCCACAGCGCCCGCGUUCAGAUUCAAACCCAACCGAAGAUUUUUGCAGAGACCUGCAAAUAGUGGUACAGUGAUGCUCCCCAUCCAGUCUUCUGCAGAGAGGAAUGAGAGAAGAUCCCCAAAUCCAGACAGAAGAGGGACCUGAAUGUCUGACCUUUAGGAGACCCUGGCCUAGAGGACUGUUUCAGUUUAUAAACGACAUCAGAGACAUAAUGACCAACAUGAAGAGGCCCACAAGAGGAGACAGAUGGACACAAAUCUUGAUUGUUCACAACACCAAUUUGUCAUCAUCAGCACCAUCAGCAUCAUCAGGAAAACCAGACAAAAUCACUGGUUUUUGCAACAUCAGCAUAAUCAACCAUUGGUUUGGACAUAAUCAAUAAAUGUUGAUCAGUCAAUCAAUAAGUCAAUCAAUCAAACAAUCAAUCAACCAAUCAACCGUCAUGUUCACUCAGAAAUACAUUGACAGUGACCCCCAUUUCCAGUGC